rnacentral:rRNA from 1 species
UACGAAGGGGGCGAGCGUUGUUCGGAUUUACUGGGCGUAAAGGGCGCGCAGGCGGCUCAUUUUGUCAGGCGUGAAAGCCCCGGGCUUAACCUGGGAGGUGCGUUUGAUACGGAUGGGCUAGAGUUCGGGAGAGGAGAGUGGAAUUCCCAGUGUAGAGGUGAAAUUCGUAGAUAUUGGGAAGAACACCGGUGGCGAAGGCGGCUCUCUGGACCGAGACUGACGCUGAGGCGCGAAAGCGUGGGGAGCAACAGG